rnacentral:rRNA from 1 species
CCCAGACAGCCAGGAUGUUGGCUUAGAAGCAGCCAUCAUUUAAAGAAAGCGUAAUAGCUCACUGGUCGAGUCGGCCUGCGCGGAAGAUGUAACGGGGCUAAACCAUGCACCGAAGCUGCGGCAGCGAACGUAUCACUUAAAGCGAUUCAGCGGAUUACGAUUGACGGAGCGAAGCGACGUCAAAGCGUAUACAAAGUCGAGUCGGUUUAAGGAUACGUUCGUUGGGUAGGGGAGCGUUCUGUAAGCCUGUGAAGGUGGCCUGUGAGGGUUGCUGGAGGUAUCAGAAGUGCGAAUGCUGACAUAAGUAACGAUAAAGCGGGUGAAAAGCCCGCUCGCCGGAAGACCAAGGGUUCCUGUCCAACGUUAAUCGGGGCAGGGUGAGUCGACCCCUAAGGCGAGGCCGAAAGGCGUAGUCGAUGGGAAACAGGUUAAUAUUCCCGUACUUGGUGUUACUGCGAAGGGGGGACGGAGAAGGCUAUGUUGGCCGGGCGACGGUUGUCCCGGUUUAAGCGUGUAGGCUGGUUUUCCAGGCAAAUCCGGAAAAUCAAGGCUGAGGCGUGAUGACGAGGCACUACGGUGCUGAAGCAACAAAUGCCCUGCUUCCAGGAAAAGCCUCUAAGCAUCAGGUAACAUCAAAUCGUACCCCAAACCGACACAGGUGGUCAGGUAGAGAAUACCAAGGCGCUUGA